GCCAGUUUGGCAUAGUGGCUUGAGCUUUGGAUUAUGACUCUGGAGACCAGGGUUCAAAUUCCGGCUUGGCC